AACUUCGGAUUAUUGCAGUCUUUUAGGCUGAGGAAAGUCCAUGCUCGCACAAGCUGAAAUGCUUGUAGUGUUCGUGCUUAACGAAACAAUAAGUUAAGGCAACCAAAUGGUUGACGGCAGAAAAAAUGACUAAGGGAAACUAUGUCAAAGUAUUCUUGAAAGUGCCACAGUGACGAAGCAAUAUUGGAAACUUUAUUGGUGGAACGCGGUAAACCCCUCGAGCGAGCAACCCAAACUAUUGGUAGGGGCACUCUUUAUUAGGAAUAACAACGAAAAAAGAGGUGUGCAUUUGUCAAUGUACACAGACAGAUAAUAAUCGAUGUUUAAAAUCUCCCGAGUUUUAAACGGAACAGAACAUGGCUUAUAGAA
rnacentral:RNase_P_RNA from 2 species